AUAUUGUUGAAGAUUUAUAUAUUUUGUAAAUCUUGCAUGAUCUCUAAGAUAAUGUUCUAGGGGUCAUGCGGCUGUGUUAUGUGAUCGAAUCAUUAUUAGAUGUGUACCUGAAGUCAAUUAGGUCGAUACAUGUAAAACUUUCUAAGGACAUAAUUUAUAAUUUUGACCUAUUAAUGAAAUAAAAUUGGAUUAUUUUUCAUUCAUAUUGUGUAAUGUGUCUAUAAAUCAUCCAAUGAUUAGGGUAGAUGAGUCUCGAGUCUACAAUGUGG
rnacentral:lncRNA from 1 species